CAUUGCAGAUAUCCGAAAGAAACUUGCGGUUGACAUAUUUGCUGAAUUAGGAAAGACAUAGGACUAUGGAUGACUGCUAAGGAGUAUGGAGAACUAGGACAUAUUUUAUUUUACUUUUGGAAACUAUGUCGAUUUGAAAACACUUGUUGAAAAUAUUAUCUUUUGAAUACUUUUAUCUUUGUUGAGAAUAUUAUAACACUUCAAUCA